CGGCUGCGGUCGUUUCAUUGCCAACUGUGAGGAUGAAGCAGCUUCAUGGCCGGAGAUCGGGCGCCUCCCAUCAGUUUCCCUUUUCAGCAAUAGAGGCCUUGGAGGCCUUUCUACCUGCGUUGCAUCCUGUGGCUGGACCACUCCAACGAUCUCGGCAGAAUCGUUACACAGGAAGAAGUCUGGCUGGCUCCAAGCCUGGUGCAAAAUGAAGAAAUGGCACUCCACAUCAAUUCAUGUUUACUUGUCGUCAUAACUAGUCUGUUAGCUUAAUUUUUGGUUCUUCCUAUUGAAUUCUCAAGAAAGGUACCAACUCUGUCAUUCAUUGAAAACAAAUUUUUGCACUUGGGGAUGCAGCCAUGCACAAAGCCUUUGAGCUCAUUAAUAUCUUUAUUUUUUAAAGAAAGUGCAGCUCUUGCGUGGAGCAAUAGGUUGAAUAAGACGAGGGUAAAUGAAAAGAUGGCGAAAUUAGUCAUCAACAGUUGUCCAACAAAGGAAGUCUCAAGCUGGAGGCAACAUCUUUGCAAGAGAACCAAAUGGCUCCAGCCUGAGACAUUCGUUGUUCAACCUGGCAAGUCUCCUUCUCGAAAUAUUUCCUCUAGCCUGAGACCUAUAUCCAUUCCACCACCCUUGACCAACAAUACACCUAUACAUUUGGCAACCCAUGGAAAGGUAGCAAAUUCACAUUCAAGGAAAGGGAAUGUAGUGUGCACCCUGGAAGGUAGCAUGAACAGUAUUUUAUUUACUUAAUGAAAUGCAGAUUUGCUAUCCAAUUACUUUAUUUUGAUCCUCGUUUUAUAAUUGGACAGCAUGGUUCCUCAGAGAGAAUAAUAAUUCGAAGCUCACACAAUUUUGCUCCUUUAUGUCUGUUAAAUCUGUCCUGGUUGCUACACUAUCAGCCCUGUCUGCAAUUGCAUAGCAGUGUUUUGAGCAUGCAUCCAAAUUCAAAAGAAUAGUUAGGCUUCUACCUCAGAAUGUUUGCUACUGUGUUGCAGCUCGAAUUCUAUGUCUAGGUGGUCACUGUGAUGCCAUGUGCUUUUUAAAUAAGACCAAUAUGGUAUUUGAAGGGCAAUUAAAUGCAAUCUCAAAUGACCUCAGCUCGGGGAGUGACACAAUUGGAGGUCAAUGUGAUAAGGAGGAUUUGAUUUCUGAAAACAAGGCACUUAAACGGGAGAAAGCAUGACUAAUUUCGUCUAAAGAUGCUGCUACUGGAUAUGAUCAAGGAAGGUACUUGUUCGUGGCUGCAUUUGCAACAUGUUACAUUGCUGGCUUUAUAUAUUGCACUGGGUACAGUGAAAUGUUGCUGCUUGCACAAUAUUCAACUAAACAUGGUAGCCAUGUUAAUGUGUCCAUGCAGAACACAACUCAUCCACUAUUAUGGACUACAGUGGAAUCUCGAUAAACGAAAAUCGCUUCGAAACUGUCGCUUAAAUAGGACACCAUCCUGAUAAUUGGUUGGCUCUCUGCAAUGUCUCUCAGUAAAUAUAAUGCCUGGUAAAUGGAACCAAUUUCCCUGGCACCUUGAGGCUCCAUUUAAAGAGCACCCACUGUAAAAAUAUAGGGGGGAUCGUGUUUGGAACUUUCGUAAAUGUAGUCUUAAACAAAACCGCAUUUCAGUGGGAGCGAAAUGCAAAAGCACCCGUGUACUUAGGUGCAUGUUAAAGAACUCCAGGUUGUCCAAAUUAAUUCGGGGUUACUCGCUAUGGCAUGUGUCAUAAUCAGAAGGUGGGUUCUGGUUCGUAAAAUACAAUAAUUUUUAACAGCUUGCUCAGAAAUCCAGCACUAAAUUAUAUAGCUUGUUUGUGUGAUGAGUCCCAAUUUCUUAAUUUAGUACUUUGACAUUUAUCAUAUUUGUGUGCUAGUCCAUGCAAAAUACCACUGAUCGGCCUCAUUAUGCCAGCCACUGUUAAUUAAGAAUGGCUUAGUCAAGCAACUUAAACUUACAGCACAAACACCUAAGACGAACCA